UAUUAUUUUUUUUAUUUUCUGCAGUGGCAUUGACAGCUUUGUUAUAGAAGAUAUUAUUUAGUUAUAAGUGAAGGUGUGCACUCAUUUCUUUAGGGUUAUUUUAAAUUUUAUCAGAAAAGUAUUACCAGCUAUUUUUGUUUUAUUGUAUAAAACUAUUUUACCCACAUUUCUUUAUAUGUUUGUAUUUUAUGGUAUUGUUACUUGUAAUAUAGCCAUAUUUUGGUUCCUUUAGGUUUUUUGUUUUGUUUUUAAUUGUAUGACUUGUUCUGUUGGAACAUACGAAUCAAUAUAUGUUUGUUACACUAAUUAGCUUAAUGAAGCAGUUUUGGUGUAUAGAUCAUGCUUCUGCAGUCACAUUGCUUAAUUCUCUGCAAUUUAAGUGUUAAAUCGCUUUGUUUAUGGAGUCCUAGUCACACCUACCUGCAUGUGACUUGCACUGCCUUUCUAAACACUUUCUGUAAAGAUUCAUCUGUUUACACUCCCUUUAUUACAAAUUCUGAUUAAUUUAGAAUUUCUUCUCACUGCUCAAAGAGCAGGAGAUAAACACUUAAAGUAAGUUAACAUGUUAUUGAAAAUGAAAAACCAAUUUAUUUAUUUUUUUCCAUGCAGGAUGUCGGUCACAGCCCGGGGAGGUGUGGCUAAGGCUGUAUGAACAGAAACAAAGUGAUUUAACUCCUAAAUUGCAGUAAAUUAAGCAGUGAAACUGCAGGGGUAUGAUCUAUACACCAAAACUGCUUCAUUAGGCUAAAGUUGUGUUGGUGACUAUAGUGUCCAUUUAACAUGCAUUGCUAACACUUGGGAGUAAAAAGGAAAUAUUCUAAACUGUUGAUAUAACCGGUCAAGAUUGGUCAGUUUGUCUACAAGGAAUCUUGAUGGUUUAAAGUGAACCUCUGUCCCAUAAAUGUGGGUGUGAUGAGAUCAUAUUUAGAUCUAUAAGUUGUGAUAACACUAUCCAGCUGAUAUAUAUUUAAUGUUAUACUUCCCUGAAUUUGCUAAAUAUCUUCCUGUUUAUGGAUGAGAUAUGGAUGCAUGUAUGAACCUAUUAAAAUGUUUGAGACUGAUUCCCAGAGUGCAGAAAAUGAAUAUAAUUAUUUUACAGAAAUGGAAAAUAAUAGCUUGGAGAAACAGUUUAGGCUUAAGUCUUUAAAAAAAAAAAA